UCAAAGAGGGCAACAGCACAUAUAUCUCCUGCAAAGGCAUUCUGCCCCACUGAGCCACAUUCUCUGAGCUUAUUGAAGUGACUACAAAUCCCAUUCAUUGUGGGCAAGACUGAUCCCAGUUAUUAGGAUUGUUAAAGCAGAAAAGCAGAAGAGACGCUUUUUGAAGACCAAAUCCAGAGUCAGCAGGACCUAGGGCCUAGAAGGAUCAGGCUGAAAUCAGGAGGACUUUGUCUGAAACUGUACCCUUGCCUGAUGUCUUCUCCUUACUCUCCUGCUCUCCAAUGCCCCUCAGUUUCUCCUGGAGUACUUCCUUAAUAAAUUGCUUCCACACAAAUCCUCAUCUCAGCAUCUGUUUGUGGGGAACUUCACCUAAGACAAAAGUUAUGCUAGAUAAGCUUAGUUGCAGAAAAAAAUUAAAAUGCACAGUUCUUGCAUCCCUGAGUUUGUAGCUUGAGCCUGGUACCUGCUGUGAAUAUAAUGCAGUAUAUGCUGCAAUCAAAAU
rnacentral:lncRNA from 1 species